CUUGAACAACACAAACAAGUUCACUUAUAAAUUUGCCUUGGUUUCCCUUAAAUAUGGAGGUCUGUAUUGAUUGUAACCAAGCCGGAGGAGAGGGAAAGAACGGAGACUGCAUCUCACCAUCCAGAGGGUAGAAGCAAGCAGGGAGAUGCUUGAUGAAGCAGCAGCCCAAGGCAAGACAUGAUGCCUCAGAUACCGGGCCUUUGCCGCACUGGAGGCGUUGCUCCCUGGGGAAGUUACAAUCUUACAGAACAAAAAAGUAUGAUCAAAAGCUCCAGCACAAAGGCGCCAUUGUUGGCCCGCGUGAGGACUACUCCGUCCAUGUGGGGCCCCCCUGUAAGAUCUUGGACCUGAGGGCAGAGAUGAGCUGAGCCUGCUUUCAAGACAUGCUUUUGCCAAAAGAAGACCCAUACUCAAUUGAGAUUUUCUUUCAUUCAGCACAGGGAGUAAAAGGAUUUAGCGGAUGUGCACUGGCUGAAUUUUGAUCCUCUAAAAACAUAGCAUUAUUUGAACAAUCCACUACAUCUGUAUUAUGUCACAACUAAGACAAACACCAACGGCCACACACACGCACACUUACUUGCUUCAUACUCACAGCCAUUGCUUGAAUAAUUACAUGAAUUAAAUAGACGAGCAUAGUGCCAGACAGUUAUUUUGUUAACACUACCCUCUAUACAGACUUUGACUGCAGUUAGAGGUUGCCAUGGUGAUGCUUGUUGCCUUCGCUAACACUGCAAUUUGCUGUCAACCAGGUUUGUUUGUAUCAGAUAUUGAGGAAUCCCUUGUUUGUUUACUUCCAUUAUUCCGGACCUAAUUUUACAUAGUGUUCUCAAAAAGAAUAUACCAGUACUGUACAGAAUAAGUUAUAUGAAGAAUUUUACAACUGGAGCAGUGCCUCUUUGUCUGCUAUUGUACUCAAGAUUUAUUGAUACAAGCGGGCACACAUUGAACAUAACAUCUGAAGUCCUGAUAUCAAACAGCUUGCAACUGUAGCAAAAUCUCAUUGGAAAAUAUACCAAUAGAGUUGUGUGAAAGCUCACUUUGUAAAAAGCUUUUAGAGAACAGCAUACUGUUAAGCAGUGGCCCACAACUGGUGGACCGCGGUCAGACUCCUGACCAUGACACAAU